UUUAAUUGAAGAGUUUGAUCAUGGCUCAGAUUGAACGCUGGCGGCAGGCCUAACACAUGCAAGUCGAGCGGCAGCACAGAGGAACUUGUUCCUUGGGUGGCGAGCGGCGGACGGGUGAGUAAUGCCUGGGAAAUUGCCCGGUAGAGGGGGAUAACCAUUGGAAACGAUGGCUAAUACCGCAUAACCUCGUAAGAGCAAAGCAGGGGACCUUCGGGCCUUGCGCUACCGGAUAUGCCCAGGUGGGAUUAGCUAGUUGGUGAGGUAAGGGCUCACCAAGGCGACGAUCCCUAGCUGGUCUGAGAGGAUGAUCAGCCACACUGGAACUGAGACACGGUCCAGACUCCUACGGGAGGCAGCAGUGGGGAAUAUUGCACAAUGGGCGC
rnacentral:rRNA from 1 species